rnacentral:rRNA from 1 species
AAAACUUUCAACAACGGAUCUCUUGGUUCUGGCAUCGAUGAAGAACGCAGCGAAAUGCGAUACGUAAUGUGAAUUGCAGAAUUCAGUGAACCAUCGAAUCUUUGAACGCACAUUGCGCCCGCCAGUAUUCUGGCGGGCAUGCCUGUUCGAGCGUCAUU